rnacentral:rRNA from 1 species
GACGAACGCUGGCGGCGUGCUUAACACAUGCAAGUCGAACGGUAAGGCCCUUCGGGGUACACGAGUGGCGAACGGGUGAGUAACACGUGGGUGAUCUGCCCUGCACUUCGGGAUAAUCCUGGGAACCUGGGUCUAAUCCGGGACAGGACCACUGCCUGACUGGGUGGUGGUGGAAGGCUUUUGCGGUGUGGGAUGGGCCCGGGGCCUAUCAGGUUGUUGGUGGGGUGAUGGCCUACCAAGGCGACGACGGGUAGCCGGCCUGAGAGGGUGACCGGCCACACUGGGACUGAGAUACGGCCCAGACUCCUACGGGAGGCAGCAGUGGGGAAUAUUGCACAAUGGGCGCAAGCCUGAUGCAGCGACGCCGCGUGAGGGAUGACGGCCUUCGGGUUGUAAACCUCUUUCAGCACCGACGAAGCGCAAGUGACGGUAGGUGCAGAAGAAGGACCGGCCAACUACGUGCCAGCCGCCGCCGUAAAAC